ACCAGCAGCAAAACGAAUUUCUUCAUUUGAUCCUCGUUAGUUUUCGUAGGUAUGGGUGUCAUGGCAACAAAAUCAAUAAACGCUAACGUCCAUACCCUAAAUGGAGAGCGAAUUACGAGGUAACUGGAGUGAGGAGCUGGUAGGAGCCGGUCGGUGCGAGUUAAUAAUUUAAACUGGACAUUUGGUCACAUGUAGAAGGGGGUUUAAAUCGUCGCGGGAAAAGAUGGGGAAAUGUCACGGUGUCAACAUACUGUUACCAGAUGGAAAAGACCGCUCCCUGACUUUUGUGGCCCAUGCCCUGGGGAAGGCUUGUGUUCAGGGACACAGUGGGUUAGUGUUUGAAGUCUUCAACUUCAUUCCCAGACUCGUGUUUUGAGGAUUCUUCUGGGCUACCUGGCUCAGACAGGGAGAGUCCACUACUUAUACAGAGCUGCAGCAGUUCAUGCCGGGAGGGAUGCAGAGCCACCUGGACAGCAGCGUAGUGUGUGUGAGGGGCAUGGUGAUGGGGGAGUGUCUCCGCUCCUGCAUGUACAUCAACAGAGCCAAGCUCAAAUUCAAGGAUGACCAAGGAGCUGCUCUCACUGAUGAGUCCACUGUCUAAUGAAGAAACAGAGCCGCUUGAUGACAGAUUGGAUCUUCCUCAAGAGGUCAAAGGGCAGACUGCACCCUCUCAGGCAGUACCAACCCAGGAACGGACCCAGACUCAAGCUGGAUAGCCUUCCUCUCCUCUGAGGACCCAGUGAGGGUGGAGAUCAGUCAGAGAGCUGUUGAGGGACUGGUUAGGAAGAACACUUCUGCAGCCAGUGAGGUGAGCGGUCACACAUGGUUUAGAUGGUAAAUAUUUGUCACCAUAGCGGUUCAUCUUGUAAGCAAAAGGGAAUAUGUUCCAUCUACACUGAACAAAAAUAUACAGUGGGGGAAAAAAGUAUUUAGUCAGCCACCAAUUGUGCAAGUUCUCCCACUUAAAAAGAUGAGAGAGGCCUGUAAUUUUCAUCAUAGGUACACGUCAUAGGUUCUCUUUCGGACUGCCUUUUAUAUGUAAGGCUCAGAUUGUCCACAAGAAGUCACAAUGUCCUUCUUCUUAGUUGUCUGUUUACUUUC